CUGGGCAGAAAGGGACAGGUUUCCAGUGAAGCCCCACCUUCAAGCCAGGGACAGCCCGAAGCCUGGGGGCCAGGCUAUCAGGUCUGGAUGGAGUCCACGGCCUGGAAUGAGAACUUAGGUGCUUUUCCUGGGCCCGGCCAUGGUCGCCCAUGGACCAAUCAGCAUGUACUUCCUCCCUUCUGAGACAUAAAAACUUCCAGGACCCGCCACACUCACACAGAUAUCAGGACUACCAGCUGCAGGAAGGAGCUACCCACUUCUGGUCUCCUUGACUCGUUGGGACUACCUGCCUGUGGAAAGGAGUUACCCACUUCAGGUCUCCUGAGAGCGGUUCUGUUGCUCAAUAAAGCUCAUCUCCACCUUGCUCACCAUCCAGCUGUCCACAUUUGGAAUCCAGUCACUCUUCACCAACUCCAGGGCUCCCCUCUUCUCAUCCUGGAUUGUGAGAGGCUUCUGGUUGGUUCCCCUCCAUGAUUCUCCCGAACCUGAGCCAUACACUAUUCUCACACAGCAAGCAGAUUGAUGUCAAAAAACUAAAUAAAGGGUGGCUUCCUGGAAGAAUGAUACUGGAGUUGAAUUUGAGAUGUUCCUUCUCUGUACCCCACAACACCCUGCACAGCUUCCCUCAUGCAUCGCUCCAUCAGUGUCUGCAUGAGUCAUGUCUUCCUUGGUGACCCUGCUUCCUGCAAACCCUGCAGCAGGUUGACAUUCUGGGACUGCUGCUCCUGGUGGUAAGCAUUGUUAAGCUUUCUGCUCUCCACCGUGCAUUGGGACUCCUCACCCGGAGGUGGUAACAGGAGUCACUUGUUUGACAGUGACCUUCGGCUCACAAAGUUGUUCAAAUGACCCUCUACAGUAGCAGAGAAAAUUGGACCCUCAGAUGGAUAGACAAUGAACUAAAUACUUCACACAGGUGCUGAAUGAACAUCAUAACUGAGCAUGCAGUUUCCUGGGGUGCAUCUAAGAGGACACUACUGUGUCUACCAGGCAGUGAGAUCUUUCCCUGGUUUUCUCUUCCCUCCCUCUGCUCUCCUCCUGCCUUGUUGUCAUCACUGGGAAAGAUUUCUUCUUGACAUCUCUUCAUGUCAGUCAAAAGUCUAGGUCAGACACUUAUCAAUUGACCCAGUGUUAAGGGUAGACACUCAUUUCAGCAACUGUCAAUAGCUUCUUUUGAUCCAUUUAGACCAGAGCCUGCAUUCCUGCCGUGAUUUAUAUGGAAGCGUGCAUAGACUUUUAAAGACAGGGAAACAUUUCUAGAACUCCAGAAAUCAGCUGAUGUGUAUGCUGCUGCUUCUGUUGCACUCAAACAAAGAAAUCUAAGAGAGAAGAUUAUGCCUGGGGAAUAAUCCUGAGACCUUCAAAGAUCCUGACCACAGUGUCUGACGUUGAAGUUGGGCACUCUCCAAGGCCAGAGUAUGGAAGACUGGAGUUCAUUCUGCACACCUUGCUUGUGGUCUCACACACUCAGAGGCCGGAAAGACCUCCACCAAGUUAGUUGAGCUAAUUCCUGGGUUACCAGGCUGUGGAGCUGUGUUUCCAGGGGACAGAAACCACAGCUAACCUAUAAACACCCUUGGAAGAGUGUGCAAAGUUACAGGAAGUGGGGCCAGUAUGGGAUGUCCCUGUGGACUAGUGUGGACUGCCCUCCUCUUUGAUUUGGCAAAGGAUAAGCAGAGACUUCCCCCUCAAGCUCAGAUGUCUUUUCACCUCCACACCUCCCUGGUUCCUAACAGAGAUAAUGUACAUUUUUCUUUCCCAGGUGUUUGUCACAAAUCUGCCAAUCCCUCCCUACUUGUGAGACAGGAAAAGAAAUGUGAACAUGUAAGAAAUUCAGAGGGGCCGAGGAAAUUUUCCUGACAUGCUCCUGCUGUGACACCACGGCAGUUGAAGAAGGCCUGUCAUUGGGCUGUCAACCUUUAACCUCCCCCAGACGUAUUUUGAAAUGAUGUGAAAAGAAUGGCUGUGCUGUACCACCAGCUCUUUCCAGCUCUGCAUGUCUGUCCUUGAUGUCAGUCAAAAGUAGUUAACUGGCACCCAUGGUGCCUUAAAAAAAAAGCCUCUGCCAAAUAUCAGUAAUGACUUUAGUUAGGAAGACUAGCUCUUGUCAAGUAAUGACUUUUUGACAUAAGGUAUUGUUUACCUAGGCAACGUUCUCUUACUUGCAUUUUAAUGAGCCUAAUUAAUAAUAAGUUAGGAGUCCUCAGCUAUUUCUUCACAGCUGGACCAUAUGCACUAAUUACACUGAAUGUGCAAACCUAAAAUAAUCCAUUUAGUCAGAAGAAAUAGUUUAAAUAUGGAAAAAAGCUUGAUUUAUGUAUAUUUCUUCUUCCCCUUUAUGAUGUCAACUGUGAUAUCACAGCAAUUUGCAAACAAUUAAGGCAGAUAUCACCUCUAAAAUGUAGGUUUUCUUUGUGGUUUUUGGUUGAAGUUUUCAUUUGUGAAAGUUUCCAGAGUUUGUAUGAGGAACUGAUCGAUAGACUUGCUUGGUCAAACCAGAGUAGUUCUCAGGUUGAAGAAUAAACACCAGAGGUAGCAAAAGGUAGUUUCUUCAUGACACUAUUUUACUUAUAACAAAUAAAUAACCUCCAAAGGGAAAUUUUGGAGCUUAUAAGAGUCUUUAUGUAUUAUGUAAAACAGGCUUUUAUGAGCUUCCCUUAAUAUUAAGUUUCUAGUUAGCUUUUAAGCAAUCCUCAAUAUAAUUUUAGGAACCAAAAUAAGUAUUUGGAAUCAGGGCAAGACAACAACUCCAAAGAAAAAAAACCGCAAGUCACUAGACAAAAUUUCCAAGGGUGACAGGACAACUCUGUUCUCACCAUCUACCUGGCUCACAAAAGUACAGGGUACCCUUGCAGAAACAUUCUUUCAGAAAGUGCAGGGAACACUAUUGUUCCAGAGAGAGUUUAGUCUUAUCAAAAACCGGUUGCAGAGAGGUGGAAACUUUAGUGUCAUUAUUUGACUCUUAAGUAUUGGGACUGUCACAAGGAUAUGAUGAGCUGAGGUGCAGCUGUUAAAGGAAAGAUAAUCUGUGAUUAAAUAUAUCAUCGAUCCCUUGAGCACGGUUUUUUUUUCCAAAAUAAAUUGUGCAGUUUUCUUUUAGGUUGUGGAAAGAUCCUGGAGGAAAUGUCGUAGGGAAUGCUUCAGGGAAGGCAUUGCUCCAAAUCCCUACCAGGAUUCUCUUAGAAGUCACACUGAAAACUAGAGCACUAAGACUGCUAACUACAUUAAAUGGAAGAGAGCGGAGUUUCUGGCAUCAAAGCUGAAUUAAGAGACUUCAGUUUUAGAAUGACUUUUGGACUUCACCAGGUCCCCAUCCACCCAUGUUUUAACAAGACAUAGUUCAAAGCAGUCAGAGACAAUCUGAGCUAAUUGGUUGAUUCAGCAAGAAACCUGGGAAAAGGUGGUGCUGAGGUUGGAGGCAUCAGGCUGGCAGGGUUAGCAGAUGCUCUCCAGAAAGGGCCUUGGAGUGGAGGUGCACCCUGCCAGGCACCAUAUGUGUGACGGACAUGACGGAGAGUGCAGGAUGCCUGAACGAAGGUGACAGCCCAGCUCUCAUUCGCAGAAAAAGAAACUUCUCUUGGAGUAAACACGAGUGAAAAAAGGUCCAUAGAGUGGGCACAUUUUCAGGCUGGUGGCCACUUUGCAGAAUUUUCCCUGCUGUAAUCUUCUUCACUAAGGAGGAAAACCUAUACUAUUUUCCAUGAACAGGACACCUGUCCCAGUUGUCCGGCAAGGCUCUUCAAGACUGCAGAGGAAUGACAGAAUACAGAGAUGCAAUCACCAGGAACAUUUGGGAGCACACUGCCAGCACAUUCACAGGUAUUCCCUCCUUGAAUAUGUUGAAUUCUCACAUUAUCCCAGGUGAGACAGACAUGGAGUUCGUUGACAGUGGAGCUGGAAUUCAGACUCAUGGCUUCCUGACUCUAUAGCCAGUGUUGGUUUUAUUGCCUUCUUGGGUUUAAGCCAGAAGAACUUGGGAAAACAGAAUCACAAUAUAUUAUGUUGAAAAUUGCCAUUCCUUUCUAAUGGAACAGAUGUCAUUCCCUGAUAACAUUUGCUGGUCCCCAAAUAUCCCAAGUUUCCCCCUCCCCGCCCCUGCUGGGAACUUCUUCCCUGCCACUGCGUUGAAAACCUGCUGUUUGAGACUGCCCCACUUGAUUCUGUCUCCUAUACCAAGAGAAGAUUCUUAAAAAUCUAAAUGAUAUAUAGAUACAUAUUGUUUCAGUGCAGGUAGGCGGAUGGAGGUCAGAUACAUGUUUUUGAAGACUGAACUCGCCAAAAAAACUUCAACUCCUUAUUGGGUGUGACUUCCAAAUAGAAACCAUUAUUGUCUUAUUUAUACUCAACACAACCACAAAACAUUUGUAAAGCAUAAUUGAUUGUAGAUGGCAAGAGAGGUCUCAGAGGCAGGUUCUCUGACCCUAUGAGCUCACGAUCUUUACAUCUGAAGAAAUAGGCUUCUAUGGGAGGUUUCUCAGUCUUCUCAACAAGGAUGUUGAGUCAUUGCAGUCACUGCAGAUGAUUGGACAUCAGAAACACCUCCUGAGUCAUCAUUUCCAUUGCUCAACAUUGACUGUUGUCAUCAAAACCAUCUACCCAUUUAGGCUUGCAAGUUGCCGAGUAGACAAUUCUCACUUUAUUCACUUUAUUCCCCAGUAUACUUUUCAAGGUAACAGAACUAGUAGAUAUGACUGGAUGAGAUGAAUCUUAUUUAUUGACAUGAAAGGUUGGCAGUCAGAGCUCUGGCACCCACCAAUACUGCCCCCAACUCCGUCCCAAGCAGCCUGCAGCACCAGCUUCUCACCCAGCUUCCCUUGCCUUUGGGGUCAGUCUGAGUUAGCUCCAGGGUCAGUAUUAACUCUGCAUGGUCCUAGGAUCUGCAACACACAGAGAGAACUUAUCCUGGGAUUGGGACCAAACUGGAAUGUGUCUUCUUUAAUCUCAGCUGGAGGCUUCAGGAUGUCACUUAAUUAACACCCAGGCUAGAAUUUUCACUCUGGAUUUGCAACCUUGGGCCAAUCUGAACUGGAACAAUUCCCCAGAAUCUAGAUGAGAAGGUUAUGACCCUGGCUCUGUUUAGAGCAUGUUCUGGUCCUGGGAUAGAGCCUGAGCCCCACUCCCUGCCUUUAUUCAGGCUGUUCCUUUCUCUGGGAAUUUCUCCCCACCUCCACACUCACUUGCCCUAUUUUAUUUUGUUUUAUUUUAUUUUUUGAAAUGGAGUCUCACUCUGUCACCAGGCUAGAGUGCAGUGGUGUGAUCUUGGCUCACUGCAACCUCCACCUCCUGGGUUCAAGCAAUUCUCAUGCCUCAGUCUCCAGAGUAACUAGGACUACAGAUGCGCACCACCAUGCCUGGCUGAUUUUUGUAUUUUCAGUAGAGAUGGGGUUUUACCAUGUUGUCCAGGCUGGUCUUGAACUCCUGACCUCAGGUGAUCCGUCUGCCUCAGCUUCCCAAAUUGCUGGGAUACAGGCGUGAGCCACCACACCUGGCCACUGCUGAAUUUUUUAUUUGAGACCUAUCUUUUAAGAUCCAUGUUUAAUUCUAUCUCUUAUCCAGAAUCCUUCCCUGUCCCUUAGUUGCAAAUGUAAGCUUAUUUCUUUUUUUGAAUGACAUCCCUACCUGCUUCUGUAUCUUUUAUGACCCUUUCCUAUUGUGUUAGUUGUGUAAGUGGCCACAAAUUUAACAACUUAAUGGAACACAUAUUUAUUAUUAUCUCACAGUUCUGUAGGUCAGAAGUCUGCCCACGGUGUGGCUCAUUUGGGUUCUCUGCUUACGGUCUCACUGGGUGAAAGCCAAGGUAUCUACCAGGGCUACCCUUUUCACCUGGGGCUUAAGUCCUCUUCCAAGCUCACUAGUUGUUGGAAGAAUUCAUUUCCUUCUCACAGUAUCUAUAUGUUUCCCUCCAUCUUCAAGCCAUCAGUGAUGUUGAGUCUCUGUUGAGCUUCAAAUCUCUGUGAGGUCUCCCUUCUGGUGCAUCUCUCUGCCUCCCUUUCUUUUCCAUUCUCAUCAGGGGAAAAGCCCUCCUUUUAAGGGCUCAUGUACUAACAUUGGUAUGGCCAGGGUAAUCCAAGAUAAUCUCCCAACGCUAAGGUCCCUGAUUAGUGACAUCAAUUACAAUGGCAAAGUCCCUUUUGCCAUGCAACAUCACAUACUCAUAGGCAUAGCCCCAGAGGGUGAAGGGCAUAGGAAGCACAAUUCUGCCUAUCACACCUAUCGAGCAGCCUCUGAUAUGGCACUACCUCAGAGAAGGUGGCAGUGAACUGCUAUGGAAACAUUGGAUUUCCCUGAUUGGCUGUCCUAGAAAAUGUCAUUUAAAUUCUAUAAGGGUGUCCCUCAGAGGUUCCCAAAUGUCUGAAUGUGAUCCCAGAAGAUUUUAGAACUUCUUAAGUAUGAACUAAAGGAAUCUUUACAAAAGCAAAUAAGGCCUAGACUUGAGUACAGUUCAGCUUCUUAGUAGGCACAAGCUUUCAGGUUUGGGGUCUUCUAAUCUCUCCCUCACCCAGAAUUAUAAAGAUCAUGCAGGGUCACAUAGAUGAAAGCAUCUGAAAACACUAAAAUGCCACACGAAUAUAGAAAGAGUUUCCUAUUGAUGCUGUAAGAAAUUACUAUGAAUUUAGUGGCUUAACACAACACAUGUUUAUUCUCAUACAGUUCUAAAGGUCAGCAGGCUGAAAUCAGUCUUACUGAGCUAAAAUCAAGGUCUCAGCAAAGAUGCAUUCCUUUCUGGAGGCUGGAGGGGAGACUGUUUCUUUGCAUUCAUCAGCAUCUAGAAGUUGCCCGCAUUCCUUGGAUCAUGACCCUCUUCCCUUUCCAAAGCCGGCAAUGAUGGCAAAGUCUUUCCCACAUUGCAACGCUCUGACACUCACUCUUCUUCUGCCUCCUGCUUCCUUAUAAGGAUGCUGGCGAUGACAUUGGGCCCACCCAGAGAGAUGAUCCAGGAUAAUCUCCUGAUUUUAAGGUCAGCUGAUUAGCAAACUUAAUUCCAUUAGUAAACAUAAUUCCCCUUUCCCAUAUAACAUAGUCAUGGGUUCUGGGGAUUAGGACAUGGACAUCUCUCAGGGGCCAUUACCUAUCUACCUACCAUGAUGAUUAUGAGAACAAAUCAGCACUCAUCUUCUUUAAGAUUGAUGUGCCUAUCUGGCUCGGUGUUAGGGCUGGGACUACUUCUACAAGGUUUUAGAAGCUACUGAUAGUAACUUUUUGCUUUCUGGCUCCACUCCCAAACCCCUCUCCUGUGGGCAGGCCAAAGUGACAGCUGCUUUGCAGGUCUUCCACCCUGGGUGUUGCCAGUUUGUUUUCUUGGGGAUAGCCCUGUCACUGGGCCUCCAAGUUUCUCCGUAGCUGCUGGAGUCAUGCAAAAUGGGUACUUACCCUGCAACCUCUUCUCUGGGAGUCAGCUUCAGACUAUUUCCUGCUAUCUUGACCUGAUUCUCUUCAUUUCUCCAUGUAGUUUGCAUACAUAACCAGUUAGCGUAAGUUCUAUUUAAUAUCCUUGCCAACUUAUAGAGUGUAAAUCUUUUGGCUUCAUUCACUCAUUCACUAAAACAUCUAUUGAGUGUCUACUAUGUGCCACACUAGCACCUACAGUCAACAGUCACCAGCAAGACUCUCAUUAGACUAUCUCUUAAAAUGCACAGUUGAUUCUCAUUAUGUGUGGUAGUUACAUUUUAUAAAGUUAUUGUGAACACGAAAUUAGCAAAUACUUAACCUUUGCUCCUAGGAAAAAUACAGGGUUAGGUUCCUGCAAGCCUCUGGUCAUAACUUUUUUGUCAACUGAUCAAUGUACAACCUUGUUUUAUGUGUGUUUCUGUUUAAAGAUAACUUAUGUAAUAUAUAUUGCUGAUUCAUUAAACUGAUAGCUAAUAACUAUAACUCAUGCCUGAAGAAACCUUAUCUAACACACGUAUUUUCUCUGUAAGCCUCAUCUCAGCCUUCUUGGACUAACAAAACUAGGCAGCCCUUUAGCACUAUACUUGGGAGCCAUUUUCAAAAGCAAAAUCACCACAAAAUGUCUAAAAAUGUGGAAAAGGUGGCACUUGAUAGACUACAAAAAAGUUUACAAUAUAUAAGACCUGAAACAAGAAGGUAGACCAUCACUUUGACCUAAGCUAAGAAUGUGCACUCCAAUUUUUCACCACUCUGUAUAUGUCCUCAAAAUUACGUAACAGCACCAAGCAUAUUGACUUAAGGAUUACAAACACAUUUUAGCAAUCAGGGAAAUUCAUGCAUGUGGAAUUCACAAAUAAUGAGGAUUGGCUGUAUUUUAUUAAAAAGAUGGACUUGAACAAAUCAAUUUAGAGGCAAUAUUGUUACAGGUCUCCCCCAAAUGUAAUACUUUA
rnacentral:lncRNA from 1 species